rnacentral:rRNA from 1 species
GAUGAACGCUGGCGGCGUGCCUAAUACAUGCAAGUAGAACGCUGAAGGAGGAGCUUGCUCUUCUGGAUGAGUUGCGAACGGGUGAGUAACGCGUAGGUAACCUGCCUGGUAGCGGGGGAUAACUAUUGGAAACGAUAGCUAAUACCGCAUGACAACAGUUGUUGCAUGAUAACUGUUGAAAAGGGGCAACUGCUCCACUACCAGAUGGACCUGCGUUGUAUUAGCUAGUUGGUGAGGUAACGGCUCACCAAGGCGACGAUACAUAGCCGACCUGAGAGGGGGAGCGGCCACACUGGGAGGGAGACACGGCACAGAGUCCCACGGGAGGCAGCAGUAGGGAAUCUGGGGCAAUGGACGGAAGUCUGACCGAGCAACGCCGCGUGAGUGAAGAAGGUUGUCGGAUCGUAAAGCUCUGUUGUAAGAGAAGAACGAGUGUGAGCGUGGAAAGUUCACACUGUGACGGUAUCUUACCAGAAAGGGACGGCUAACUACGUG